rnacentral:tRNA from 1 species
AAUUAAUGAGUUUGAAUAAACAUAUGUUUUGAAAACAUAAAAUAAAAGUUUAAUCUUUUAUUAAUUU